ACGCUGGCGGCAGGCCUAACACAUGCAAGUCGAGCGGAUGAAGGGGGCUUGCUCCCUGAUUCAGCGGCGGACGGGUGAGUAAUGCCUAGGAAUCUGCCUGGUAGUGGGGGACAACGUCUCGAAAGGGACGCUAAUACCGCAUACGUCCUACGGGAGAAAGUGGGGGAUCUUCGGACCUCACGCUAUCAGAUGAGCCUAGGUCGGAUUAGCUAGUUGGUGAGGUAAUGGCUCACCAAGGCGACGAUCCGUAACUGGUCUGAGAGGAUGAUCAGUCACACUGGAACUGAGACACGGUCCAGACUCCUACGGGAGGCAGCAGUGGGGAAUAUUGGACAAUGGGCGAAAGCCUGAUCCAGCCAUGCCGCGUGUGUGAAGAAGGUCUUCGGAUUGUAAAGCACUUUAAGUUGGGAGGAAGGGCAUUAACCUAAUACGUUAGUGUUUUGACGUUACCGACAGAAUAAGCACCGGCUAACUCUGUGCCAGCAGCCGCGGUAAUACAGAGGGUGCAAGCGUUAAUCGGAAUUACUGGGCGUAAAGCGCGCGUAGGUGGUUUGUUAAGUUGGAUGUGAAAUCCCCGGGCUCAACCUGGGAACUGCAUCCAAAACUGGCAAGCUAGAGUAGGGCAGAGGGUGGUGGAAUUUCCUGUGUAGCGGUGAAAUGCGUAGAUAUAGGAAGGAACACCAGUGGCGAAGGCGACCACCUGGGCUCAUACUGACACUGAGGUGCGAAAGCGUGGGGAGCAAAC
rnacentral:rRNA from 1 species